AAGACCUUAAGUUAUAUAAACUAAGAACCUUCAAAGUUUUAAAAGAAUUAUAUUCAGGUCUUG
rnacentral:tRNA from 1 species